rnacentral:rRNA from 1 species
GAUGAACGCUAGCUACAGGCUUAACACAUGCAAGUCGAGGGGCAGCAUGUCGGUUGCUUGCAACCGACGAUGGCGACCGGCGCACGGGUGAGUAACGCGUAUCCAACCUACCCUUGUCCAUCGGAUAACCCGUCGAAAGGCGGACUAACACGAUAUGCGGUUCUCAGCAGGCAUCUAACGAGAACGAAGUGUGAAGGAGAAGGAUGGGGAUGCGUCUGAUUAGCUUGUUGGCGGGGUAACGGCCCACCAAGGCGACGAUCAGUAGGGGUUCUGAGAGGAAGGUCCCCCACAUUGGAACGGAGACACGGUCCAAACUCCCACGGGAGGCAGCAGUGAGGAAGAUUGGUCAAUGGACGAGAGUCUGAACCAGCCAAGUAGCGUGCAGGAAGACGGCCCUAUGGGUUGUAAACUGCUUUUAUAGGGGGAUAAAGUGUGCCACGUGUGGCAUAUUGCAGGUACCCUAUGAAUAAGGACCGGCUAAUUCCGUGCCAGCCGCCGCGGUAAAAC